CCCUUAGAUGUUCUGGGCUGCACGCGCGCUACACUGACGCACGCAACAGGUGCCUGCUCCGAGAGGACUGGGUAAUCAUUUGAGUGUGCGUCGUGAUGGGGAUAGAAUAUUGUAAUUAUUACUCUUCAACGGGGAAUUCCUAGUAAGCGCCAGUCAGCAGCUUGCGCUGAUUACGUCCCUGCCCUUUGUACACACCGCCCGUCGCUCCUACCGAUGGGUGAUCCGGUGAAUGAUUCGGACUUCAGCGGCUCCCCUGGGGUGCGCCGGAGAAAGUUUUGUGAACCUUAUCACUUGGAGGAAGGAGAAGUCGUAACA
rnacentral:rRNA from 1 species